UACGAAGGGGGCUAGCGUUGUUCGGAAUUACUGGGCGUAAAGCGCGCGCAGGCGGCUAUCCAAGUCAGUGGUGAAAGCCCGGAGCUCAACUCCGGAACUGCCAUUGAAACUGUUUAGCUUGAGUAUGAGAGAGGUGAGUGGAAUUCCCAGUGUAGAGGUGAAAUUCGUAGAUAUUGGGAAGAACACCGAUGGCGAAGGCAGCCAUCUGGACCGACACUGACGCUGAGGCGCGAAAGCAUGGGGAGCGAACAGG
rnacentral:rRNA from 1 species